rnacentral:rRNA from 1 species
CACGUAGUUAGCCGGCGCUUCUUAUCCAGGUACCCUCAACACCACCAAAAAAGCAGUGCCUUGUUCCCUGACGAAAGAGGUUUACAACCCGAAGGCCUUCAUCCCUCACGCGGCGUCGCUGCAUCAGGCUUGCGCCCAUUGUGCAAUAUUCCCCACUGCUGCCUCCCGUAGGAGUCUGGGCCGUAUCUCAGUCCCAGUGUGACCGUCCACCCUCUCAGGCCGGCUACCCGUCAAAGCCCUUGGUAGGCCAUCACCCCACCAACAAGCUGAUAGGCCGCGAGCCCAUCCCUUACCAGAAAAAACCUUUCCAAACCAACCCAUGCAGGAUGGUCAGAAUAUCCCGUAUUAGCUACCCUUUCGAGCAGUUAUCCAGGAAAGUAAGGGGCAGGUUACUCACGUGUUACUCACCCGUUCGCCACUAUCAACCAAGCAAGCUUGGUAUUUCGUCGACUUGCAUGUGUUAAGCACGCCGCCAGCGUUCGUCCUGAGCCAGGAGUCAAACUCUACUGACGACUCGACCG